AGCCCUGUGGAUCUUGUCUUGCUCUCAGUUGCACGUCAUCUCAAGGAUUAGCUGAACGAUUGGUUCCCUUAAAUCAGAAUCAAUCUGGGAACUCCAACUAGUGCGCUCUUCGAGCUGAAGUUGUGCUCUUCAGCUGAGGAGGUAAGGAAGCCUUCACUGGGGCUUCAAGGUGUAAAGAGGAUGUUUUAAAGUGUUCCAUGGUACUCUGAAGACCGUUGUUGUGUUCAACUGGCUGAGAGGAAGAACCCUCACAUCUUCCUCUUGGCCUUUCUCCUCUGAGAAUCCUGGCGCCAUCUAGAAGGAUAUUCCAGCUCAUGUAACUGAUGUCACGACAGAUUCUCAAACACUUGGUUUCUCCUGAGGGGCGUGUCUAUAGAACUGAAGACUUCAGACCGCACUGUAUCCCAGCAUGCAUCUCUGCUCACCCAGACCACACCCCCAUGAGUAGGAUGCAACACUCUAGUGAUGGAGAUGUAGAGUUUUAUAAGUAACGAGGGAGCAGACAAAGGUGAUUAGGACACAAUGGCAUAUCAAGUCUGUAAAUCUUUAAACCAUGAAGAUGGUUGGAUAGUUCAGGAAUUGGGCUUCUUUUUAUUAUGGGCAGUCCUUUCACUCAGAUGCCCACAUAUCACUGGACCUGUACAUGUGUUGGCUGGUUGGCAUGAGUUGCUGUUGGUGAUGAGGCGGUCAGGGUGACGUUGCAGGGCUAUGGUCGAGCUCAACGUUUAGAUUUGCUCUGCAUGGUUUGUACCCUGAAUAAUCUAGAUAAUUGUAAAAUGUACAGGGUUUUGUAUUGAAUGAUUUUAGGUUUAAAGUCGUUGUGGGUCGUACAUGGUAGUUUGGUUCUUCGUACGGUUUUGAGUGAUAUAACUUGUACACACUGGGUGCAUAAUAAUGUAAAGGUACACUGAAUAUUAAUGACCAACAGCAACAAACAGAUCACAUCAAGGUAAGUCUGUUGGCUGUGUUUUAAUGAAGACCAUCGCUGGACUUCAGGAUCUUCCUCCGUUCAGCUCAAGGUGAGGCGCUGGUUCUGUUUUUCUUUGGUUGGUUCCGGCCGGAAUGUUCGUAUUCCAGUCGGACAGUUUGUGCUUCCCGCCGUGGAAGGUUCUGAGUGCGGUCACUUAUUUAGUCCCAAUGGUUAGCAUUGAACGUUGUAGCCUUGACAACCAUAAGUAACCACCUGGCAGUUAGUUGGACGGGAGUCCCCUGAGGGAAUCUGGCGGAACGUUCUGGAUUGUAUUUGCAUGACCUCGAGCCGUUGCCAACGGAAACUAUUUUUCAGUCGUUUCCAUUGGGAAUUGUUGUCCCUUAUCUUAAACUUAAAUUUGAUAUUAAAUACAUACUGACACGUACGUCGUACAAUAUGUUUAAUUUCCGAUGGUUGCGCCGUACUUUUAACCACGUUGACGUGAUGGGACUCUCUCUGCGUACAAACAGCGUUGUACUUGCGGGCCCAUUUUGGUGAAGGCUGAAAAUCAUUUCAAGGUGGAAGACAAUUUGACAUUUCUUCAACGGUACCCAGCACCUGAAUAUGGCUGAGUUGAGUAUAUUUGAUUUAACAUCGAUACGGUUUAGUGUUCUUUGUUCAGCUUUUGUACGUUCUAAAUAUCUGCUGUCAUUAAUUGCCACAGAAGUUAAACCCUACCCAAUGGAAUGACGUUAAACAACGACUUUGGUGUAGAGUUACCAACUGGAUAAUAUCAAAGCUAAAAUAAUGGCCAUCCUUCCCACAUGUUACAGUAGAAGAUACUCUAGAACUGUACAAGGUUAAAUAGGUAACAUUUAGUUUGUCCCAAGGUGUCUGCCUCCUCACCCAGAGCCAGACCGCCACCUCCUGUCAGAAGUCCUCCAGAACAGGAAUCCAUGGCUGAAGGAGCUGAUGGAGGAGCCGUGCUGAUGGAGUCGUGCUGAAGGCCCUGCCUGGUUGAGGAGCUGGUGGAGGCCCUGCCUGGUGAAGGACGUCUGUCGUGGGGUAGUUGGAUCUUGACUCUGAAGUGAUCAUCACACUCACUGCC
ensembl:lncRNA